rfam:Schistosoma curassoni strain Dakar, Senegal genome assembly, scaffold: SCTD_scaffold0004275
AUGCAGUUGACGAGUCCUAAACAGGACGAAACACACAGUCUUGGAU